rnacentral:rRNA from 1 species
GACGAACGCGGCGGCGUGCUAAUACAUGCAAGUCGAGCGCGGGAAGCUUGCGGAAUCCUUCGGGAGGAAGUGAGCGGACCGAGCGGCGGACGGGUGAGUAACACGUGGGCAACCUGCCCGUAAGACGGGGAUAACCCCGGGAAAUCCGGGGCUAAUACCGGAUAGGUGACCUUUCUGCAUGGAGGGGUCAUGAAAGGCGGCGGAAGCCGUCGCUUACGGAGGGGCCCGCGGCGCAUUAGCUAGUUGGUGAGGGAAGGGCUCACCAAGGCGACGAUGCGUAGCCGGCCUGAGAGGGUGAACGGCCACACUGGCUACUGAGACACGGCCCAGACUCCUACCUGGAUGCAGCAGUAGGGAAUCUUCCGCAAUGGACGGAAGUCUGACGGAGCAACGCCGCGCUAGUGAGGAAGGCCUUUCGGGUCGUAAA